rnacentral:rRNA from 2 species
UACGGAGGGUGCAAGCGUUAUCCGGAUUCACUGGGUUUAAAGGGUGCGUAGGAGGGCAGGUAAGUCAGUGGUGAAAUCCCCGAGCUUAACUUGGGAACUGCCGUUGAUACUAUCUGUCUUGAAUACCGUGGAGGUGAGCGGAAUAUGUCAUGUAGCGGUGAAAUGCUUAGAUAUGACAUAGAACACCAAUUGCGAAGGCAGCUCGCUACACGAAUAUUGACUCUGAGGCACGAAAGCGUGGGGAUCAAACAGG